GACGAACGCUGGCGGCGUGCCUAAUACAUGCAAGUAGGACGCAGUUGCGAACGGGUGAGUAACGCGUAGGUAACUACCUAUUAGAGGGGGAUAACUAUUGGAAACGAUAGCUAAUACCGCAUACUAGUAGAUGGACCUGCGUUGUAUUAGGUAGUAGGUAGGGGAAUGGCCUACCAAGGCAACGAAACAUAGCCGACCUGAGAGGGUGAUCGGCCAAACGGGGACUGGGACACGGCCCAGACUCCUAAGGGAGGCAGCCGUAGGGGAUCUUCGGCAAUGGGGGGAAACCUGACCGGGCCACGCCGCGGGAGUGAAGAAGGGUUUCGGGUCGUAAAGCUCUGUUGUUAAGGAAGCGGUACUUAACCAGAAAGGGACGGCUAACUACGUGCCAGCAGCCGCGGUAAUAC
rnacentral:rRNA from 1 species